UACGUAGGGCGCAAGCGUUAUCCGGAAUUACUGGGCGUAAAGAGCUCGUAGGUGGUUUGUCGCGUUGUUCGUGAAAACUCACAGCUUAACUGUGGGCGUGCGGGCGAUACGGGCAGACUUGAGUACUGCAGGGGAGACUGGAAUUCCUGGUGUAGCGGUGGAAUGCGCAGAUAUCAGGAGGAACACCGGUGGCGAAGGCGGGUCUCUGGGCAGUAACUGACGCUGAGGAGCGAAAGCGUGGGGAGCGAACAGG
rnacentral:rRNA from 1 species